rnacentral:rRNA from 1 species
AUUGAACGCUGGCGGCAUGCUUUACACAUGCAAGUCGAACGGUAACAGGCCGCAAGGUGCUGACGAGUGGCGAACGGGUGAGUAAUGCAUCGGAACGUGCCCAGUCGUUGGGGAUAACUACUCGAAAGAGUAGCUAAUACCGCAUACGAUCUAUGGAUGAAAGCGGGGGACCGUAAGGCCUCGCGCGAUUGUAGCGGCCGAUGUCAGAUUAGGUAGUUGGUGGGGUAAAGGCUCACCAAGCCAACGAUCUGUAGCUGGUCUGAGAGGACGACCAGCCACACUGGGACUGAGACACGGCCCAGACUCCUACGGGAGGCAGCAGUGGGGAAUGUUGGACAAUGGGCGCAAGCCUGAUCCAGCAAUGCCGCGUGAAGGAAGAAGGCCUUCGGGUUGUAAACUGCUUUUGUACGGAACGAAACGGCUCUGGUUAAUACCCGGGGCUAAUGACGGUACCGUAAGAAUAAGCACCGGCUAACUACGUG